ACGAACGCUGGCGGCGUGCUUAACACCUGCAAGUCGAACGGAAAGGCCCUGCUUUUGUGGGGUGCUCGAGUGGCGAACGGGUGAGUAACACGUGAGUAACCUGCCCUUGACUUUGGGAUAACUUCAGGAAACUGGGGCUAAUACCGGAUAGGAGCUCCUGCUGCAUGGUGGGGGUUGGAAAGUUUCGGCGGUUGGGGAUGGACUCGCGGCUUAUCAGCUUGUUGGUGGGGUAGUGGCUUACCAAGGCUUUGACGGGUAGCCGGCCUGAGAGGGUGACCGGCCACAUUGGGACUGAGAUACGGCCCAGACUCCUACGGGAGGCAGCAGUGGGGAAUAUUGCACAAUGGGCGGAAGCCUGAUGCAGCAACGCCGCGUGCGGGAUGGCGGCCUUCGGGUUGUAAACCGCUUUCGCCUGUGACGAAGCGUGAGUGACGGUAAUGGGUAAAGAAGCACCGGCUAACUACGUG
rnacentral:rRNA from 1 species